GGAAAAAAAAAAGUACAAGAAGAUGGGUGCAACUGUUAAGGAACAAGAGCAUUUGAGAAGAAUUCAAUGUAAAAUGAAGAAUUACAGAAGAUCAUUGCUAGUGUUCUAGUUAGAGCUUGCUUUUGCUACCAUUCCAUUAUUGCAUAUAUUUUUGAGAGUUUGUUGAUGAGUCUGUUUUUUAGUUGUUCUUCCUUGAGGACAAGGAAGCUUGAGGAGAAGAUAUUGAUGUGUUUAAUGUUGAUUAGUGUGGGUUGUUAAGCUGUAAGGGUGAUGUUUGUAUAAAAGAGAAACCUUAUCUGUAAUUCAGGUGUUAAUUGAAUGAAAUUCCUCUUCUUUGGAUUUUUCUUUUUGAGUAUUCUUCUUCUGUUCAUGAUGACCUGUCCAAUGAUAACAAUAUCGAUCAAUGCCUCUAGCAAGUUUUUCUUAUCAGUAGCUUAUGGUUCAGUGAUUCUUAGGUUUACUACCAUGGACAUUGAGCAUUGUUUUGUUGCCAUUGUUAAUCAUUUGUUGGGAGAUUUAAGUCAUUUGUUGCUGUUGUUUGGUAUGAUUCUAGAUUAGAGCUAAAAAGAUUCACUAAGCUUAUUCUUAUGAGAUGGAAGGCUGAGGAUGGCUUAACUCAGCUUAUAAUGUUAUGGUAAUUUGGUAAAAUUGAGAAUCGAGGGUGGGUGGAGAGAGAGCA
rnacentral:misc_RNA from 1 species